AACGAACGCUGGCGGCAUGCCUAACACAUGCAAGUCGAACGAGACCUUCGGGUCUAGUGGCGCACGGGUGCGUCACGCGUGGGAACAUGCCCUUAGGUUUGGAAUAACUCUACGACAGGGGUGCUAAUACCGGAUAAUGUCUUCGGCCCAAAGAUUUAUUGAAUUUGGAUGGGCACGAGUUGGAUUAGCUAGUUGGUAGGGUAAAAGAAUACCAAGGCGACGAUCCAUAGCUGGUCUGAGAGGAUGAUUAGCAACACUGGGACUGGGACACGGCCCAGACUCCUACGGGAGGCAGCAGUGGGUAAUAUUGGACAAUGGGCGAAAGCCUGAUCCAGCUAGGCCGCGUGAGUGAUGAAGGCCGUAGGGUUGUAAUGCUCUUGUACCCGGGAUGAUAAUGACAGUACCGGGAGAAUAAGCUCCGGCUAACUCCGUG
rnacentral:rRNA from 1 species